CCAAAAACAUAGCCCUAGUAUAUAUCUAAGGUGUAACCUGCCCAGUGGUUUCAAAGCAAUAAUAAUUAAAAGUUAUUUAAUAAAACUAAAAGGACGCGGUAACCUUGACCGUGAUAAUGUAGCGUAAUCAUUCGCCACCUAAUUAGUGGAUAGUAUGAAUGGUUGAACGAAUAUUCCUCUGUCUUAAGAAGAAACACCAAAAAAUUAAAAUAAUAGUUAAGAUGCUAUUUUAAAUUGUAAGACGAAAAGACCCUAUAGAGCUUAACUAUAAUCUUUUUUAAAAUUAAAAAACAUUCAUUUUUAAACAGAAAGAUUGGUAGUUUAGUUGGGGCGACUAUCUUCUAAAAAUAACGAAGAAAAGCAAAGUUAAUAUAAAACUUACUGUAUAAUAAAUCCAUUUAACAGUUAUAAAAAUAGGCUAUAAUGACCCGCUAAUAUUACAUAAAAAAAUUAACGAUCAAUAAAUAAAAGCUACCUUAGGGAUAACAGGAUAAUUUCAUUUUAGAGUUCUCAUCGAAAAUGAAGUUUGUCACCUCUAUGUUGAAUUAAGAUAUCCAAACAACGCAGAAGUUGUUAAUGGUAGGUC
rnacentral:rRNA from 1 species